UGAGGAAUAUUGGUCAAUGGGCGAGAGCCUGAACCAGCCAAGUCGCGUGAAGGAAGAAGGUUCUAUGGAUUGUAAACUUCUUUUGUAAGGGAAUAAAAAAGGCUACGUGUAGUCUAUUGUAUGUACUUUACGAAUAAGGAUCGGCUAACUCCGUGCCAGCAGCCGCGGUAAUACGGAGGAUCCGAGCGUUAUCCGGAUUUAUUGGGUUUAAAGGGUGCGUAGGCGGACUUUUAAGUCAGCGGUGAAAGUU
rnacentral:rRNA from 1 species